UGAAUUUGAGCCAACUCUGGGAGAUAGUGAAGGACAGGGAAGCCUGGCAUGCUGCAGUCCAUAGGGUCACAAAGAGUCAGACAUGACUUAGUGACUGAACAACAACCUUUUACUCAGGUCAGACGUGGUAAAGACCCCAGUGCGGUCAACAGAGUAACAACUGGAUCCCCAGAUGCGGUCACAGGCCAGGUUCUGUGAAUGAGGGAAAAUCCAAGCUUAAGUCAAGGUCUAGGCAGGAAAGUUACUGUGAACUCUGGAAAAAUUGAGACCUUAAAUAUUUUGGUAUAGUCCAAUCCAAUAGUGAAAGUGACCUAGUCUGACAGUUAUUCAGGAUGUACAAUAUGUCUUAUAAACUAUCUUAUCUACCGAGCAGAUUCUUCCGUGGGGCCAUCUGCUCAGUUCUGCAGCCCUCAGCUGUUCUUGGAACUGGAAAAAAAAAAAAAAUCCUGCUUUGGGAAAAAAAUCAAUUACUUCUCUUAUAGAGACAUAGAUUUAAUGUGUCACAGGAAUAGAUGCUGUAGAAAUCCGUAAAUUGAUCACACUGAUUAUGUCUCCACUUGAUUGAGAGAUCUUAGGGUAAAUAAAGUGUGGCUCCAUGUAGAGGCCGUCAGAUGAUGUAGGUUACCAUUUUAAUAAUGGAUUCAGCAGUUUUAGAAAGGAGAGUAAGAACACCAUGGCAUUUUCACACUGAAAUAGAUUUCAGGCAUCUUUCCUGUCGUAAUGCCUGGUUGAGGCUCUUUUCCUGGUGUUUUUGAAGCUGUGGUUCUCUGCUACCAGCAGUUUCAAAAAUAAAAGCUUCGAAUUUGGCUCCAUUUGGGGUUCAGGCAAAUUAGUGCAGUUUGUUCUGGUUUGUGCUUGAGGUGCUGUUGGGUCCAAGUCCUGGCAUGGAUGCUGUGUUUGUGAACAGGGCCUGCAUCAGCUGAGCCCGUAAGUAACAGGAAAGGCUUGGCUGGCAGCGCUUGGCGGCAGUUACCCUGGUGCAUUUGCAUUCGUGUCCACAGGGCCUCUGCACUCCCUCCCAGAAGGGAGCAUGGGCUCCCCCCCACCUCACCCUCAUAUUCAGGCUGAGCUUGGGGAGACAGAGAUGGCAGGGUGUCAGUCGGUGGAUAAAUACAGAUGUUGAGAUGCCUGACUUCUGCUCCCAGCCCAGCACACCUGCCCAAGGGUCAGACACACACCUGUCAAUGCUUGUGUUUGCUGCUGGGACCAUGUGGGGUGGGGGGUUCUGAGGGGCAGGGCGCCAAUGAGCCCCACCCGUGGGUCAGCGUGUCUGUCCUGCCAGGCAGCGCGCUCAGCCCUUCUUCCAUCCACGUGAGCCUGGCGGUCCCCCCAGCUCGGCCCUAGGUCGUAGCGCCUGCGUUUUCACACCCGAGGAAGGUCAGGUCAGGAAGGACUGGACUGGAAAGCUCCACGACAGACAGUGGUGGGGCUCAUUCAAAUUCUUUUCAGCCCCCAAGUGGUUCUGUUUUCUGCCUCGCGGUCUCCGUAAAUACAGGUGGAUGGUAGCAUAAAUAAAUUGUUAACUUCAGCAUUUGUACAGGCCAAACAUCUGUGAAAACCACAGUAGUCUGAUUAUAAAGAUCUCAUGUAAAUCAAAUAUCUUAAUAUGGUACCACCAAGUGACGGCCACCUGUGUUACCUGAAUGUAGCCUAUGGUUGGCCGGGGAUCAAACCCGUGCCCCCUACACUGGCAGGCGGACUCUUAUCCACCACACCACCAGGGAAUUCCCUAGGGAAGAACCUUUGUAUCCUAUUCCAAGUUCAUCAGUAAAGGGGUGUUGCCUGUAAGUUUAAAUUCUACAUAUAGACCCAUCUCCGGGAACCCUGCCUCCCAGGUAAUGAGGGCUAAGCUAAAAUACCUUUGUUCGGCUCACAGGAGACAUCCUGACCUGGCCCACCUGUGAACGGAUGCAGGAAGGCAGAAACUGACACAUCCCUUCUGAAGGCUGACCAGAACCAGGAUUUGACCCCUUCCCCUUCCAGUAUAAAAGCAGCCUGCAUUCUAACUCAGGGAAAAUGGGUCUUCGGGGUGCUAGUCCCCCAUUGUCUCAGUUGACUGGCUUUCUAAAUAAAAUUGCUAUUCCUUGUACCAGCAACUGGUCUUUAGAUCCACUGGCCUGUCGUGCAGAGAGCAGUACAGCACUUACGACCGUAACAGCCACUUACGACCGUUUCAUUAGGCCCCCUUCAUCUCCUGCCCACCGAGGUGGGAAAGAUACAUCAGUAUCCAGUUGAUCAAGUAAGACCUAAGUUUAGUUGUAGACUCCAUAACAAUCUAUGUACAAACCAAAUCUAUAUCCAUCUCUGCUUUCAUUUGCUGUGGGUUAGUUAAAUCGAGCAGGCAGCUAGAAUAUGCAGCCAAUGCAGAAUGUGGAUUAAAUAGAUAAAUGAAGUAUUUAUAGCACGUGUGAUUAUUAAUUUUAGUACAGAGUAAAACUCUUACAGUGUGGUUUAGAAAGGUUGUGUUUUUCACUUUUUUAAAAUGAAGGAAUGAUAUUUUAAUUUAUUUUUUGUGUGUUUUGUGGUUUGCGUUCCUAGGUUUUCCUACAAGCUUUGCUCACAAUUCUAACUCAUGGUCCUUGGCUAUGUCUUCAUAUAUCAUUACAGUCAUCCUUUAAAUGAACAAAAUGGUCCCUUGAACCGUGGAAGAGGUGAAUGACCUUUUGAAAUAAAAACACACUGGUGCAAUGCAGCCAGAAGAGCCAAACGAGUUGCAGCCAGAUCAGAAGUGAUUGGUUCAGCGGAGGUGCACCUGCCAAAUCAAAGCUGCCAGCUGGGCGAUUCUUGCGCAUUUUCCUAAGUGGCUGUUGUAUAAAAUAUUGAGGCUGUAUAUGUAAGCAACCAUCACUCUGAUGUUUAAAGAGUCUUGUUCUUUUAUUUUUCCUUCCUGGAAUGGAGAGGCAAGAGACCGGGGCCGACAUAUCGAGGACAAGAAACCAAAUCAAACAGUGACUUCUUCUUUAAAGUAAGCCGGGCAAAGUCUUCCCACAGCAGAUGUAAUCGGGAGCUGCCUUUCUGCAGACAGAGAGAGGAGGGGCACAGCAAAGUGAUUCAGCUAUGGAAAUACAUAUAUAUCUAUUCUCUUUCAAAUCGUCUCCCAUGCAGGCUGCUACAGAAUGCUGAGUAGUUGCCUGUGCCACAUGUUGCCGAGUCAUUUCCCACUAUUUGUGAUCCCAUGGACUAUAGCAUGCCGGGCUUCCCUGUUCUCCACUAUCUCCUGGAGUUUGCUCAGCUGCUGCUCGUCUUCGUGGCGCCUAACUGAAGUGUCAGCGAGCGGCAUUUGCGUUUCUCACGUUGCUGCGGCAGCUCUGUGCUUCCAAGAUGAAAAGUUGAUCCUCGAAACAAUUAAAUUAAAAAUUAUGUAAAACC